rnacentral:rRNA from 1 species
GACGAACUGUCCUAACGUUGUUCGGAAUCACUGGGCUUAAAGGGCGCGUAGGCGGUCCGACAAGUCAGGGGUGAAAUCCUGCAGCUUAACUGCAGAAGUGCCUUUGAUACUGUCGGUCUUGAGGGAGAUAGGGGUGUGCGGAACUCACAGUGGAGCGGUGAAAUGCGUUGAUAUUGUGAGGAACGCCGGAGGCGAAAGCGGCGCACUGGAUCUCUUCUGACGCUGAGGCGCGAAAGCUAGGGGAGCAAACAGG